rnacentral:rRNA from 1 species
AUUGAACGCUGGCGGCAUGCUUUACACAUGCAAGUCGAACGGUAACAGGGAGCUUGCUCCGCUGACGAGUGGCGAACGGGUGAGUAAUGCGUCGGAACGUGCCGAGUAGUGGGGGAUAACGCAGCGAAAGUUGUGCUAAUACCGCAUACGUACUGAGGUAGAAAGUGGGGGACCUUCGGGCUUCACGCUAUUCGAGCGGCCGACGUCUGAUUAGCUAGUGAGGUGAGGUAAAGGCUCACCUAGGCGACGAUCAGUAGCGGGUCUGAGAGGAUGAUCCGCCACACUGGGACUGAGACACGGCCCAGACUCCUACGGGAGGCAGCAGUGGGGAAUUUUGGACAAUGGGCGAAAGCCUGAUCCAGCCAUGCCGCGUGUCUGAAGAAGGCCUUCGGGUUGUAAAGGACUUUUGUCGGGGAGGAAAUCCCCAGCGCUAAUACCGCUGGGGGAUGACAGUACCUGAAGAAUAAGCACCGGCUAACUACGUGCCAGCCGCCGCCGUAACAC